CAACCCUCAAGCUCUGCUUGGCAUUGGGUGCCACUUAAAACAUGGUGCACCUUAAAAUCAGUGGCAGUGCCAUCUAACUUCCAAGUGUAGUAAUAUUUCUUGCUUUGGAAGUUUUGGGUGCGUGCUUGCCAACAACCCUCUAAUUUAUCAAA
rnacentral:misc_RNA from 1 species